rnacentral:lncRNA from 1 species
AUGAAUUGCGUUCUGAAAUUUGGGACAAGCGCUCUCAAAAGCAUCCUGGACUCUGCCGACGGGAUGAGAAGGAGCCGAGGCUGGAAGUUGGCUCUGGUGUUCCUGCAGGGAGAGUUCAUGGGCAGUGCUGCUCCGGGAGCGGUCCUUCCCGGUGCGGGUCCCGGAGCGGUCAUUCCCGGUGCUGCUCCCAGAGCGGUCCUUCCCGGUGCUGUGUCCCAGAGCGGUCCUUCCCGGUGCUGGUCCCGGAGCGGUCAUUCCCGGCGCUGUGUCCCGGAGCGGUCCUUCCCGGUGCUGUGUCCCAGAGCGGUCCUUCCCGGUGCGGGUCCCGGAGCGGUCAUUCCCAGUGCUGUGUCCCAGAGCGGUCCUUCCCGGUGCGGGUCCCGGAGCGGUCCUUCCCGGCGCUGUGUCCCGGAGCGGUCCUUCCCGGCGCUGUGUCCCGGAGCGGUCCUUCCAGGUGCUGUGUCCCGGAGCGGUCCUUCCCGGCGCUGUGUCCCGGAGCGGUCAUUCCAGCUGUUGUGUCCCGGAGCGGUCAUUCCCGCUGUUGUGUCCCGGAGCGGUCAUUCCCGGCGCUGUGUCUCGGAGCGGUCAUUCCCGGCGCUGUGUCCCGGAGCGGUCCUUCCCGGUGCUGCUCCCAGAGCGGUCCUUCCCGGCGCUGCCCGCAGGUGGCAGCACGGGGCCGCCGCCGUGGGAGCUCAAGGGAAGCCGCUCCGAGCCGCUGGAAUUGCUGCCUCAGUUUCCCUCGGCCCGUCCCUCCAUCACUUUGGCCAUGUCCGGGCGAUAUAA